GAAAUGCGAUAAGUAGUGUGAAUUGCAGAAUUCAGUGAAUCAUCGAAUCUUUGAACGCACAUUGCGCCCCUUGGUAUUCCAUGGGGCAUGCCUGUUCGAGCGUCAUUUGUACCUUCAAGCUUUGCUUGGUGUUGGGUGUUUGUCUCGCCUCUGCGCGCAGACUCGCCUCAAAACAAUUGGCAGCCGGCGUAUUGAUUUCGGAGCGCAGUACAUCUCGCGCUUUGCACUCAUAACGACGACGUCCAAAAAGUACAUUUUUUACACUCUUGACCUCGGAUCAGGUAGGGAUACCCACUGAACUUAAGC
rnacentral:misc_RNA from 1 species